GAUGUUGAAAAAAUUAUUCAAGAAUAAUUUAUUCGGUAUAAAAUUUUUCUAGUACAAUGGUAUGGAUGAAGUUUGAUGUUUUAUUUUUUGAAUAGUUUUGUUAUAUAUGAUUUGGUAGGAUAGUAUAGUUAACAUGUAAGGUUAUUUAUCUUAUUCUAAAAAAAAAGUUUAAAAGAUGAAUAUAAUAUUCCAUUUUAAAUUUUUAUUUAUGCAAUGUACAAAUUUCUUAAGAAUUUGUUUGAAUGCACGAAUAUUUUGUUCUUAUAUCAUCUUGAUUUAUUCAAGAAAUUUAUAUAUUUGAUUGAUAACGAGUGUGAUAGAAAUGUUUAGAGUAAGAUAUGGUAUUCGGACUUCAAAUCAAUUUUUCAGAAUAAGAUAAAUUAUCUUGUAGAUGAAAUAUGCUAUUUUAUCAAAUCAUAGAUAAGAAGAUUUUUGAAGAAGCAAAAAUCAAAACUCCUAAUUUACAAUCAUACUAAAGAAAAUUUUAAAAUUGUUACUUUAUCAAUCUUUUGUCUUUUUUAUAUUAUUAGCCUGCCGCAAUGCACGAGUAACAUCACUAGUAUUUUAAUAAUUUGUUGUAAUCAUCACGCACAUUAAUUUUUUCCUUGCUGCGGUAUACGCUCAUCAUGUGUUACCAAAAGAAUUCAAUUAUGAUGGUUUGGAUUUUUUAGCUUGAAAUUUUAAUGAGCUGAACACGAGCUGGGAUCAGCUCUGGCUCAAAGUAGCUCGAAUUUCUACUAUUUGUAGUUUACAUAAAUCCAAACAUAAAGAGACAUAAAUUUUGUGAAAUCAAAUUAUUAUAUUAAGAUUCUAAUUUCCUAAUUUUCUUUCAACUUUUCAUACAGUAAUAAGGCUAACAAUUUAACUUUGUUAUUUGCGAUCCAGCUCGUGUUUAGCUUGUUUAUUCACGAGUUAAAUUUUUUACCUCGAUAUUUUAACGAGUCAAAUAAACGAGCCAAACACGUGCUGGCCCCGGCUUGUACGUGUUUGGCUCGUUGAGAGCCCUUCUCCUUGGUGGUGUGGUAGUAACUGGGAUAUUGCCGUGCCACUGCCACGUUAACAUUUUGUCAACUAAAGAAAUUGCAUGUUUGAUCUUACUGGCCCUAAAAGAAAUUUGGACCAUCUGAAAUGAUGAAUUUAAUAUUUGGUGCACCAAUGUGACAAUUUACCAAGUUAUUUGCUACAGUAUGUGAAUUUUUUUUAAAAAAAUUACUUACCCUUCUAGAGAAAGAGUAGCAUAUUCACCCCUUUUCUUGUUAAAUAUAAAAAUAUUUAAACACCGUUUUCUAACAGCUUAAGUUUUUAGAGUACAACGGUUAUUUCACAUGGUAUCAGAGCAGGAGGUCCUGAAUUCGAGUCGCGUCAGUCUCCUAACAUAUUAAUUUUCUCCUAUUUAAUUUAAGCCGACGUCAUGGGCCGACUAAAAAAAGAGUCUCGAGCCCAGACGUGAGGGGGAGUGUUAAAUAUAAAAAUAUUUAAACACCGUUCUCUAACAGCUUAAGCUUUUAGAGUACAACGGUUAUUUCACACUUCUCCAGGGUACAGCAUCUCUUUCCUUUAAAGUGCUUCUUGUCAAAUUCUAGUGAUUUUUGAUAGAUUUGCAAAUCUCUUCCUCCAUUUUCCUUGCCAAUAUAUAAGUAAGUCUCUUUUAGAAGGCAUAACAUUUUUUUAGUAAAAGCAUGUUUGAGCCCAAUUGACAAUGAUACUCUCAAGGGUUUAUUAUUGUUGGUGAAAAAUCCAAAAUCUCUAAAUAUUAUUUAAUUUUAUAAUUAUUCUCAUUUAUUGUCUUUUAUUAUGUUAAUUAAUUUGAUGGAUUAAAUUUAAUUUAUUUCUUCUUUAUGCCACAUAAAGGCAUGAAUUAAGUGGAAAGUUGGGAACGUUGAGAUUCCAACGUUUCAUUUUCUCUCCACUAUAUUUACAAUGGAUUGCACUGUUCAUCUAUGAUGAACAUGGCAGAGAGAUACAUUGGAAGAUAUAUAUUUUUCUUUUAUCACUUUGAUCUAUUGAGUUUUUGAUCUUUUUGUCAUCGGGUGUUGAAAGCGUCUCUGUCAACCUCCUUCACGAUCGUGCUCGCAGGAGGAGGAAUUCCGGUCGUACCUUGGGGUAUUAUUUCCGGUUAAUCCCGCACGUAAGGACGGGAAUACUCCUUAGGGCAGUGCCUCACACGCUUCCGGAUCAAUUAAGUAUUUAUUUGGAUUUAGCGAUCAUCAGUAAGUUGAUUUAUUUAUUUUCAUAAUAAAAAUUAGUUAGAACUUUAAUUACAAUCAGAUUUCUGUGCGGUAUUUGUUCUAACAAUUAUAAAGCUGUUUUCAAUGAAAAUGAUGAACUAGGGAAAAGGGUCAACCAGUCACUGUGUUUCCCUUUCAAGGAAUAGCAAACCCCUUUCUAGAAACAUUCUAUUUGGUAAACUGUAAAAUUGGUCAUUGAAUUUAUCUUGAAGUUUUGCUAGGCUUUAGUUUGUUGCAAGAAGUCACUGACUUUCAAUUUCCGAUUUAAUCUUGCCAGUUUAACGAAAUCAUUUAAGUGGCAGCUGAUUUGUCUUUCAUGUCAUGUCAUCUUCGAGAGAUGAUCGGGUGAUGAUGUGAUCAGUUGAUUUAGUUAUCAUAUUUUCUCGGAAUUAUUAUUAUUAUUUAAUCGUCAUGUUAUUUUCGAAAGUAUUACAAUAGCUGAAUCGAUAGUUUUCUCAUUACUUAAAAAUGAAGUGGUCGCUAAAUUAGUAUUUAACCUAUGGUGAUGUUGCUGUUAAAUUAACAAUAGAAUUAUCUCUACCUUAGUAGGGUAAAAUGAGGUAUCUAAGUAGUCAAAUUGGAACAGAAAUUGAAUUUUUAGUCAUUCUAUUUCUAUAAAUUAAAGUGUAAUGAUCUAAAUGUAACUUCAUAAUAAGUUGAACAACCUUUUUUAUGCUAUAAUUUUCUCUCUCUUUUUUUUUUUUUUUUGUUUCUCCAGAGUUUAGUAAUUUACUGAAAUGUCUAUAGAAUUUUUGUCCCAUGGGGUUCUAGCACAUUUCUAGUGUUAAUGUGACAUUUGAAGCACAUUUUUCUAGAAGCACAUUCUUCUAGAAGGAAAAUGUCAGAAAAAAUGUCCCUCGUGUUAAUGUGACAUUUGAAGCACAUUCCUCUAUAAGGAAAAUGUUAUUUCACCACCCAAAAAGUAAAGUCCUGAUGCUUAGAAUUUUUUAAAAAUUUUUAGGUCCUCUCUGGAUGUCGAAAAAAUUAUUCAAAAAUAUUUUAUUCGGUAUAAAAUUUUUCUAAUACGAUGGUAUGAUGGACGAAGUAUGAUGUUUUAUUUUAUUUUGAGAGAAAAGUAUGAUGUUUUAUUGUUUGAAAAGUCUUUCUAUACAUGAUUUGGUAGGAUAGUAUAGUUAACAUGCAAGGUUAUUUAUCUUAUUCUAAAAAAAAAUGGUUUAAAAGAUGUAUAUAAUAUUCCAUUUUAAAAUUUUAUUUAUGCAAUGUACAAAUUUCAUAAGAAUUUGUUUGAAUGCAUGAAUAUUUUGUUCGUUAUAUCUCUUGAUUAUUCAAAAAAUUUAUAUAUUUGACUGAUAAAGAGUGUGAUAGAAAUGUUUAAGAGUACGAUAUGGUAUUCAGACAAUUUUUCAGAAUAAAAUAAAUUAUCUUGUAGAUGAAAUAUGCUAUUUUAUCAAAUCAUGGACAAGAAGAAUUUUGAAGAAGCAAAAAAUCAAAACUCCUAAUUUACAAUCAUACUAAAUUUUUUUUAACAUGAAUUAAGUUUACUAUUGAUAAUUUAUUUCGACGUCCAAACAAGCCUUCAUAGAUUAAGAAAAGAUAUUGAAUAAAAUAUUCAUGCAUCCAAAAAAGGCCUUAGUAAUAUAGUAAUAUAUAUAUAGAAUUGAGCUCCUAUGCUUUUAAAAGUACCAAGCCAUUGGUACUUGUAAGUUUUCGGCCCUUGGAUUAAAGGAUGUACGGUUAUGAUGAUGUGGGCCUCCUAAGGUUGAGUGGGUAGUUUGUUGAAUAGUGUAAUAUAACGGUUGAAAUGAUUAAAAACGUAGAUCCAACGGUAAAAAAUUUACAAGUACCAAGUGCUUGGUGCUUUUACAAGCACCAUAGCCGGACUAUAUAUAUAUAUAUAUAUUACAAAUUUUUAAUACUUAGAUUUAAGGACAAUCCAAAUAUAAAAAGAUAUAUGUUUUGUGAAUCUUUUUUUGUAAUUUUCUUUUAGCUUUUUAUUUAGUAGUAGGGCUUCCAAUCUAAUUUGCUAUUUGCGAGUUGGCUCGUGUUCAGUUUAUUAAUAAACAAAUCAAACACGAAUUAAUUUGUUUAACUCCAUAUUUUAAUGAAUCAGUCUAUAUUUAGCUUAUUUAGCAAACGAGAGAAUAUAAGACUGUAGUACAUCAUCAAUUACAUCAAAGGACUAAUGCAGACUCCUAUAUUAAUAAAUGGUUUUUUUUAAAAAAAUUGAUUAAAUUUAUUAAAAAUCCAAACAUGUGUCAGGAUAUUUAGCAGAGAGGAGGACUUGGGUCCUUGGACUCAUUCCAUUGUUUGGACACAAAAAAAAAAAAAGUGAGACAAAGUAUUGAGCUUUUUAAGACUCCAAAAAUCUCCUAUUAGAAGCUUCUUUGUUGAAUAUUUUGGAAAGAACAGAUUAAAAAAAAAAAAAAAACUUAAAUACCACCCCUAUAGUUUCAUACUUUCUCACUUUAGUACUCUAUAAUUUAAAAUAUAUUACUUUUAUAUCUUGUGGUUUCAUUUUUCUCUUUUCAUUAUCCCAUCCGUUAAUUUUUUUAGUUAAAUCAGUGACAAAAUUAAAACCGCGGGAUGCUAAAGUAAAUAUUCGAUAAACCAUACGUGAGGUGUCUGAAGUUUUUUGUAUAUGAUUUAACGAAGAGUUAAUAGAGGCGCCGGGAAAAAAAAAAAAAAUAAAGCCACAGAGUAUUAAAGUGAUAUACUUUAAAACAUAAGAUAAGUCUUAAGUGAGCAAGCACGAAACUACAUGGGUGGUAUCUGAAAUUUAUCCAAAAAAAAACAUAUUUUCAAAUAAAAAGACAUAGGUUUGUAGAGUAGAGCUCCAAUUCACACAUGCAUUAGAUUGAUUGACAUGUACAAAAAUUCUCCAAGGGCUCUUUUUUUUCAAACUAACCUUUAAAAUUUUAGAAUUUAUUACAUGGUCCUAUCAAAAAUUUUGGUUAAAUAAUUUUAUUUUGGCCAACUCAGCGCCAAAAUGAAAGAAUAAUAGGAAAAAAAAAAGUGAAUUAUUUAAUGUCCUUUUUUUAGAAAGAAAAGGAUGAACAAUUAUCAUUUUUUUUUUAUUUCUCAUAUAUAAUUCUAACAACUAUAUUAAAAAUUCUAACAAAUCACAUGAGAUCCUAACUAUCCAAAGAAUUAUAACAAUCUAUUCAUAGGAUCCUAACAAUCAAACAAAAAUUCAAUAAUAAUUCACAUGUAAUUCUAAUAAUCUAAAAUGAAUCCUCAUAAUCCAUACAAAAAAAUUGAUAAAUAAUGAUAAUAAUUUGAAAAUAGUGAAUGAUUUACCGCUUUCUAAAGAUGGUGAACGAUUCAACCGAUUUUUUUAUAUUUGUCAAACAUGCAUUGAGUUUGCAAGAAGAAGAUUAGUUGGCCAAAUAAAAUGUUAAAAAAAUUAUUUGGCUAAUUAGAAAUUUUUAUAAGAUUAUUUUUUAAAAAAGUCAAUUCUACAAGGAGCAAAUAAUACUAAUGGUACACAUAAAAACGGAGUGUAAAUCUUAUAUCCAUCACUCAAGGUUUAUAUUGGAUUCUUGUUUUGUCUAUAUAUAUAUAUAUAUAUAUAUAGAGAGAGAGAGAGAGUCCGGUUAUGGUGCUUGUAAAAAUAUCAAGCACUUGGUACUUGUAAGUUUUUUUACCGUUAGAUCUACAUCUUUAAUCAUUUCAACCGUUAGAUUAUACUAUUCAACCAACUACCCACUCAACCCUAAGGGGCCCACAUCAUCCUAACCACACAUACUUUUAGAAGCGGGAACCCCUUGGUGCUUCUAGGUUUCUAACUCUUGGAUCUACUCUUUGAUUAUUAAUAGCCCUUGGAUUAAACACUCUUCCACCUACCACCACCUACCACCAUUAUCCCAACCUUACAUUUUCCAUCCAAUGGCUAAAAACUCAAAAACAUCACCCUCUUGGUGCUUUUGAGAGUGUUUUAGCUCAACUCUCUCUCUCUCUCUCUCUCUAUAUAUAUAUAUACACUUUUUUUAGGUGCACGAGUGAGUUAAUUUUAGCUCGUGUUCGACACGUUUAUUAAAUGAACGAUCGCUUUCGAACUCAUUUCGAAUCGAAUAUGAGCUAGCUUGUGAAUAAUAAGCUGAAUUGUCGGCCCAAAUCAGAAGUGAUAUUUAAAACUUAAAAAGUUAAAGGAUUAAUUUCAUACUGGUUCCUGCAAAUAUAGUGAAUGGCAAAUAUAUUCCUAUAAACUUCAACUUUCAUAUAUUGUCUCUGUAAAAAUUUUGAUGUUUUCAAAUAUAUCCCUGUAUUAGAAUCCAUUGGAAAAAUUUAGUUAACCAUAGGUUGAAUACUUAACCCUGAUUAGUUUUUGACAUUUUUAUCUCUCUUAUAUUAUACUGUUAUGAUUUUUGGAGGGAUAUAUUUGUUAUGACAAAAUUAAAAAUAUAAACAAUUCUCUAACGGUAAUAGAACAUAGAGAUAUAUUUGAAAAUAUUAGAACUUUUGUAGGAACAAUAUAUGAAAGUUGAAUUUUGUAGGGAUAUAUUUAUCAUUUACUAUGUUUACAGGGACCUGUAUGAAAUUAACCUAAAGUUAAAUUUCUAAGCCUUGACACUUUAAAGGAUCCAAAAAAUUUCAACAUUUUUGAAGCUUUCGUUUCUUAUGCUAUAAAAUGAUAGUGGGAGCUACAAACGAUAUAGAUUUUAAUGUGAGAUAUAGGCUUAUAAUAUAAGUAUAAGAAGAGUAAAAUGUUGGCAUAUGCUACUGGGGAUAAACUUAUAAUAAACUUUAGUAUCUUACUUUAUAUAUUUUAUUAUCUAUGUCACAUUUUUAGGGAUUUGGCCCAUGUUUUAAAGUAUUUAUAGUUUCUAGAAACUAAACACAACUAUUUUUCAAAAUUUCUCAAAAAUUUGAAAUUAUAUAUUUACUCGCUUUUUUGACUUUGGAAUGAUUUUUUUUAAUUUUCUUUCUCUCUCUCUCCUCUCCUUUGGUUGAAAACAUUGCAAUUAUCGUUAUUUUUGGGGUAAAAUUUAAAUAUCACCACUGCAGUUUAAUAUUUUUUUUAUUUUAGUAUUUUAUAAUUUAAAAUAUAUCAAUUCAGUAUCUCGUAAUUUUUUUUUUCUUUUCGUCAGUCCUCUGUUAAAUUUUUGUUAAAUCAUAUAAAAAAAAACUUCAGAUACCCUACCUAUAGUUUAUCAAAUAUUUAUUUUAGUAACAUUUAGUUUUAACUUUGUCACUGAUUUAACAAAAAAAAAUUAGUGGAGUGAAUAACAAAAAGAGAAAAAUAAAACCACAGUGUACGAAUGUGACACACUUUAAACCAUAUGGUACUAAAGUGGGAAAAUACGAAACCAUAGGAGUAAUAUUUAAAGUAUUUAUAGUCCCUAAAAACUUAACACCACUAUUUUCAAAAUUUCUCGAAAUUUUGAAAUUAUAUAUAUUUACUCAUUUUUUUGACUUUCUCCUCUUCUUCGGUUGAAAAUGCUGUAAUUAUAAUUAUUUUUAUUUAAUUGUUAAUUAAUAGGUGUAUUUAUAGCUUUAAUUAUGUCCACACAAUUAAGAUGUCAACAGCUCAGAUUCAAAUAAAUUUUUAAAAAUUUAAAAUUGAAUCCACCAAUCAAUAUUGAAAUUUGAAUCCGAACUUAAUGAAUUUUGAAAAUUUAUAUUCAAAGCCGAAGCCAACCAAAAGUUCGAAAUUCGAAAUCGAACCCCAAAGGCCCAAACAACUAUCUCUUUACCACAUUUUAAAAUAUUUAAUAUUAAAAUUUACGAUAAAGCACGAGUGGUAUUUAAAGUGUACCCAAAAUUUUCUCCACCGUACACUCCUCCACCACGUCUAUAUAAACCCUGGUACCAAACCCAAUCGACCAUUCUCCUUCUAUUCCUCUGCGUACCCAAAAAGUACCCCAAAACCCUUCCCUCUUUUCCAUUACAUUACAUUCUCUCAACAGCUCCCCAAACCCCCGCCCCUUCUCUAAGAGAGAGAGAGAGAGAGAGAGAGAGAGAGAUGAGCGCACUGCGCCCCACAUUCCCCCUCGCCGCCCCGAUCGGCGGCGGCGACGGGUUCCGCCGCGGCCGCGCCGGCGCCGCCGCGGCGGCGUCGUCGGCGUCGGCGGCGGCGUCGUCGGCGUCGGCGUCGGCGGGGGUGGGGGUGAGCUUGUACGAGGUGUUGGGGGUGGCGGAGGGGGAGGGGAGGGCGGAGGAGAUAAAGAGGGCGUACCGGCGCAUGGCGCGGCGACUCCACCCGGACGCGGCGGCGUCGCCCCCCGGCCGCGCCACCGCCGAGCAGGCGCGCCGCUUCAUCGCCGUUCGCGAGGCCUACGACACCCUCUCCGACCCCCACCGCCGCGCCCUCUACGACCGCUCCCUCGCCUCCUCGCCCUCCGCCUCUCAUCAGGUCGUUUAUUAGGGUUUCUUCUCCUUCUUCUUCUUCUUCUUCUUCUUUUCUUAGUAAUAAAUCUCUCUUCCGCAUUACCAUACUUAUUUGAGAUAAAUAUCCACUUUUUUAUUUUUUGCGUAAGAUUUUUUUUUCUACAAACACAGUAAAUUAUAAAUAUAUUCCUAAAAAAUUCAACUUUUAUAUAUUGUUCUUAUAAAAGUCCUAAUGUUUUCAAAUAUGUCCCUCUGAUUUAUUCCUGUUAAAACACUUUUUUUUAAUAAGUGCAAUGAUAUUUUUGGCAUCAUAAAUAUGUUUUUCCAAAAGUCUCAAUUAUUAAUUAAAGAGGGGUAAAAAGGUUAAUUCACCUCAUUAACUAAUUAGAAUUAAGUAUUUUAUCUAUGGUUAAUUAAUUUUUUCUAACGAAUCCUAAUGGCAAAGACGUAUUUGAAAAUAUCAGGACUUUUAUAGGAACAACAUAUGAAAACCGAAUUUUGUAGGGAUAUAUUUGUAAUUCACUAUAUCUGUAGGGAACUGUAUAAAAUUAACCCUUUUAAAAAAGUUUAUAUUUUAGAGUUUUAAAAUUUUAGAAAUGUUCUCAAGGGUUACGGGGAUCAAAUUGCAGUUACUUAUUCUAUUAGAAAAAAAGUAGUUUUUAAUGUUUUUCUAUAAUUCUUAAGUAAAGAAGUAGAUGAAAUAGGGAAUUAUUUGUAUCAAUUUGAAAUCUUGAGAGAGUAGAAUAAAAAGGGAAAGUGAAAAAGAUUUUCUUAUCUUAGCCUUUGUUUUUUUUUUUCAUUUGUUUUAGUCUGGUUAAAAUGUAUGAACACUCCUUGAACUUUAACCUAUUUUGCAAUUGACCCUCCAAAAUUUCAUUGCUCUUCUUAUUGGAAAAAGCUAUCCACACAUCCCUUUAGGGCCAUCCAAUGGAUGGGAUUUGCUUACUUAUUAUAUGAUGUGAUUAGUAAAAUAACUCUACCCAUUAGAUAGGUGAGGUGUAUGAUAUACGCUAUCUUUGGUUGGAGUGUAUCAGUAUCAUUGUUAUUUUUUAUUUUAUUUACACCCGCUCAACUUAUAAAUCAUUUGAUUUAGGUCCCAUCAUUUAUAACUUUGGAAAUUCUGUUAGAAUCAAACACCCACAAAGGAAAGAACGAUGUUUAAUAUUAUAUAUUCAAGAGUCCAACUCGGGUGCUUUUAGGAGUUUCGAUGAUGGGAUUUUAAAUCGAAGAUUCGUUCACUUAUAUUUGAUUUAGAGAAUUUAAAAUAUCUAGAAUACACAUAUCGUGAUUUUUCAAUAUCAUUUACCAAGUGAUCUAGAAAGCCCAAAAUCAACAAUUUUAAUGGUCAAUAUAUGAGCCGUUUACAAGUUUAAUGAUGUAGAAAUAUCGAAAUCGGAUGAAAUUUUGAUAGAAAAUCAUCAAACAAUAUUAAUAUUUUUGAUCUAAAAUUUGAGUGUUGUAUCAUCACUUUUUACAAGACUUUUAUAUUCAACCGUUGAUUUUCAGUCUUUUUGAUCACUAGAUAAAUGAUAUUUAAAAAAACCGCAAAAUUUAUUUUCUAGAUACUUUUAAAUAAUUUAGAUAAAGUCUAAUGGAACUAAUCGUCGAUUCGAAAGUCUUAUCAUUGGAAAUAAUUUGAAAGCACGGAGGCUUCUGUGCUUCUAAAAGAAGUUCAACUCGUAUAUUCAAAACUCCACAUCUUGUUUUUCCAACUUGAUGUUAGAGUUCGUGUACAAAUUAGAGUCUUUUAUGUUAUCUUCUUCAUUAAUUUUAUAUGUGGAUUAGUCAUAAAUUCCGUGGCUUUCAAGAUGUUUUCUGCUGCAGCUUUUUUGUAAUGAAGUUUAAUUUCCUUGAAAUAUUUUAAAAACAGUUUGAGGUUAUCUUUUCCUUGACUCUGUGAUACCAUAAAUGAGUGGACUAUUAAACAGGUUCAAAGUUAUUGCCUGCACCUGGUGUAUAGAUUGCUCGUGCACCGCUAGCUUUGUUCAAUUAUAGGUCAUUUAAAUAUCCAACAAAAACCAUUGGAUAAUCGAUAGAUAUAAUCUGAACAUCUAAAGGACCUAGCAAAUCAAAAUCAUAAGCUUUGGAACCAAUGUUGCAAAAAGGGGUAUUGUGCGGUAGGUGAGAAAUAGUUGCCUAAAACUUAUGAUUUUUAGUUUCUAGCUCUUUCGAAUGUCGUAAAAACACAUAUAAUAGAUUUGGUUACUCUUUUGAGACAUUUACGGUUCGCUUCUAUCUUUGUAAACCAUCCAGAGCAUAAACUUGUGCAGUAAUCUCUCUUGUAUUUGAUUGUUUAUUUCCUCUUCAAACUUCAGAAGCUAAAUAUAACUUACUCUAAAUAAAUUACUCAGUUCGUAUACAGUCUCUUCUGUUUUUUUUUUUUUUUUUUUUUUUUUUUUUUUCAUAUAUGAUUGUUCUGUUCCUUUCAAAACUUCUAUUUAUUUAUUUAUUUUGGUUUGGCAAAUUUAAGCAUAUGAAGUUAAUGUGUGUCAUUCAAGACAACUUUUCUGCUUCUAUUGUAGAAAAAAAAACUGGUUAGUUUCAUUUUGUUACCCUCUUGAAGAUUCCAACUUCUCUACAAAUAGUCGGGAUUGAAUUCGAAGAUUUUGAGGAAAUGUACCGUUUCGCAUUUUGAGUUAUGAGUUUGGAUCUUUUCCUUAUUGCACUGCAAUAUUUGCACCUAUUCCUCAUACCUAUCUUUAUAGACAUAAAAAGCUCUAUUUCUUGCGCUCUCACCCUUGAUUCUAUUAUCCAUCAUAUUUUUCUUUUCUUUUUUUUCUCCAUUAGUUAUACUUGAGUUGCGAUAGUAUAAUUAAUCCUUUUAUGUGCUAACUCUUUACUUGUUUAAAAUUAGGAAUUGGACGAACGAUCGCAUUGGAGGAAGCAUUGGCAAGAUCAGAUCGCGGAGUUAUGUUGGAGGAGCAUCGACAAGGAUUCAGAGGAUAACUUAUCUUGGGGAGCUCGAAUGCGACGGAAAUGGGGUGAAUCAUUGAACUGAAUAGGUAAAAUUUUUCAGAGUCAUGAAAAUAAUGGUUUUUUAGUCGAAAUAUUCGGUCAUCUAUUUGUUUUUGUAGAUUUGAUGGAGUUGUGUUCCAUCAUUGUUUUGUUGUAUAUAAAAGAUUAUUGAGUAACUCAGAAACUUUCAUAUAUCUCGAGGAAUCUUGGAAUGUACCAUCUCUUCUUUUUUAUGUAUGUGUUAGGUUUUUGUGUUUAUGACGAUAUAUAUAUAUAUAGAGAGAGAGAGAGAGAGAGAGAGCGAUAGAGAGAAGUGUUACUGUACUAUUAUGAGUAUAGAAGUUUUUGUACUCAUAACUCAUGAGUUGUUUUCGAUGAUGGAUCAUCUGGAUCAACGAUCUAUAACAUUAAAUAUGAUUUAGAGUAUUUGAAGUAUAUAGAAAUCAAAUUUUAUAAUUUUCGAAUUUAUAAUAAAUUUCAUAAUGUGGGUAUAAUAUAAACGAUCAAAAUCGAAUGAUCUCUUAAACAUAAAGGAUAAUGUUUUUAAAUCCAAGAUCGAAAUUAUUUAUCUUGAGCUAUACAGUGAAUAGAAUUUUUUAUUAAAAAUUUAACCGAUUUCGUUUGUUCUAUACCGUUAAUUCGGAAAUGCUCCACAUUGGUUGUUAAUAAAAAUGUUAAUUUUGAGGCCUUGUGAUCGUAAGAUAUAUGAUGUCUUCUUAUAUGAUGUUAAAAAAUUAUAAAAUUUAAUUUCUAGAAUAUUUAAAUAAUUUAAAUUAUAUUUAACGAUAUAGAACGUCAAUUCGAAAGCUUUAUUAUUGAAAAUAACUUAUGAUUACAAAAACAAUUAUACUCAUAAUAGUAUAAUAGUUGGUCUCUCUCUCUCUCUCUCUAAAAGCUUAAGUUGAUAGGUGGAGGUGCUCUUAUAUGUUAUAUACUUGACGGUCUUUAUUUCUAUCUAAUUCUCCUACUUAGUCGCAGAAGAAUGAUUGAGAUGGAUAUAUUAAAUUGACUAAAAAAAUUUAGGAGCGCAAAUCGCAAAAAUAGAAGCUUAGAAAGUUGUUAGAAAUAGAACAGGUCCAACUAAAUAUGUGUAAUUUUGCACAUAACUCUCUAAUGAGGAGGGACACCACAACAAUAACUACCGAAUAAUCUAAGCAUCGAAUUUCUUAUGCAGUUUUUUUAUUCUAAAUUAUGCAACAAUUCAUGAAAUAACGCUUUUUAGAAUGCUUUUUCAUAAACUGCAGUAAGUAUAUACUCAGUUAGUUCUUGAUUGAAUGAGCUAUUACCCCAAACUUACAUUUCACACAACUCUACUGCAAUCUGCAGGUGCGAAGGAUAAUAGUUUCUCCUUGAUAUUGUAGGAGAAAUGGUAAUUGAAUUGAUUAUGUUCUCCGAGAAUGCUCGCCUCCGGAAAACUCCUUAUAGCGACGCAGAGUUUAUUCACACCUAGUUUCACCACCACAUUGUUUGGCGGCACCGGGUAAUCGACACCGCCGCUAAAGUGGAGCGUCAUGCUCGGUAACGUCUCCUUAAACCCCUCAUGUGGCAACACAUAACAAACCUCAAAUAGUUCACUAUUCGUUGGUCGCAAUUUAAAUGGCUCGAAAUAUGCCUUGAAUGUUUCGAUGAUUCGCUCAUACGGUCCUCCUGACAUGAAUGCGGUGAAUGAUGUGCCUGAGUCGAUAAUAAAACCCCCUCUCACGUUUCCGUGAUCGUUUUUGUGAAUGGCAAAGUCCUUGGACUUGAAUCCGAGGCGGUGGCCCGCAACACUCACAUUGGAUAGGGGCAGAAAGUAUGUUAUCAAAGUCGGCGCAUGGAUAAUACGAAUGGUUCUCACUUGAGGGCCUCUGAGAAUAGCUUCGUCGCCGAACUUGAGCCGACUCAACGGUUGCUUAUUGCUCUUGAACGGCGGCAGGCAGUAUGAGAACCUACCGCCGAUCAAUUCCAACAGCUGCCUAGCUAGUGAUAGCGGCUCCAUAUUGAGGCCGAAUACUCCAGACUGCUCCUUCGUCAUCGCAGGAUCUCGAUUGUCAUUUGCACAACCGAAGAUGAAAUUACGUACAAACUCUUUUUGGUGUCUAUCGGACGCGAAGCCCAAUGUUUCAAAGGCGAGGAUGCCUUUCGAUGAAGAGCCAUCGCCAUAUCCUAUCGAGUAGUGGCAGUGGCCUUUGACGCAUUUCCACCCCGGUCGGCCCAGAUCGCACAACGUAUGGUUGCAUCGUAUCGGGUCGAAGGAGCUCGACUCUUUGACCGGGUGGAAGAUCGGUUUGCUCUGUUUCCAGCAGCGGAUGCAUGGCUUGCAUUGCAUCCACAAGAUGUCGCUGGCGGUGUCCAUCACUAGGUAGUUCUUCCGCCUGGUGGGCGUGCCGAUGUAGAUCUCUACCAUGUAGUUGAAGGGAUCACCUUUGAGAUUAGGGCGAAUGUGCUCUAUACCAUGAUCGACGCCGAGAAGGGAUGUUCUCAAGAGCUGUGCACGGGCGACGUCGCUCGCGUAAAGGCGUCGCACUCUCUCAUAUUCGGUGAGGUUACCGGGAAAAAGGGGAAAGCGGAUGGAGUACUUGUGGAUCAAGUUCAGGUGUAAGGAGCGAACGGCGACUAACUCAAGGAACAAGAAUAGAAAACCAACAUGCCAUUCAUGUGCCAUUUCCUACUCUCCCUUGAUAGAAACUCCAAUCACAACAAUUUUUAGUUGCUUUUAAGUCUUAGGACAUGGAUUAGUGUAACAUAACAUGAAUUGUUGGGUCUGCAUGUGGAGUAUUGAGAUUCAAGUUGUUCUGCUUGAAACUUAUAAUAAAUACUAGUUAUUAUUUGGGUGAUAUCUUUUGUAGAUUUGUGUAUAUCUAUAACUUUUUAGGUAAUACAUAGCAAAAGUGAUAUGUUCUCAGCAAAGGAUAAGAAAGAUUAAACCAAGAAAGUAAAUAUUCUCUAAUAAACGGACGCUCAAGUUAUACAUUUUAACUAGAUUGAUACCCAUGUAAUGCACAGUAGUGUCUACAAUAAUUGGGAAAACUUCAAAAACUUUCCUGUGGUUUUGCACUUUUUCACUUGAGUAUCAUGUGGUUUAAACUGUAUCAAGUUAAUACCCUGUGGUUUCACAUUUUCUCACUUUAGUAUCCUAUGGUUUAAAGUGUAUCAAGUUAGUACUCUGUAACUUAAGCAUUUUGGAUGGCAGACAGGUCCAAGAGGUUAAGAGAGUUAAACGUGUUAGAAUGGGAAUGGGAGUAGUUCUAGGAUGGAUGAACCUCCUGGAAAGUUAGGGCGUUAUAAAUGUCAAAUACUAUUAUGGUGAUAUCUUAUGUAGAUUUGCAUAUCUUAAUAAAAGUAAUAUGUUCUUAAAGGACAAGAAAAAAGAGAAGAAAAUAUCAAUUGGGCAUUCCAUGUCUAUGCACUCUAAUCAUAUAAGCUAAUUGCUUAAUAAGUAUCAAAAAUAACCUAUCGUAGUCCUUAAUUAAGUUUUGAAUUCUGAAAAAAUUAUCCUUGUACAUAUGCAGCAUACAUUCCUCACAAUUGGAUCAUUUUCUCAAACCGAGCAAUGAGACCGACGAAACUCGGAGAUAAGAUGCGGGAGCCGUCGAAAACGUAUGGUUUGUGAGCACUAGCCCCGACUUCAUGUAUGAUGUAGAAGCGCAACUUUAUCCUCUACCACAGUGAAAUCAAGAUCAGGCGUAUGGCAGAAACUCGCAACUUUCGACAUCCUUUGACCCGAGGAACUCGAUAGCAUUCUUAAUAUCGGUGAUCUUAAUUUAAAGUCGCAGGUACAUGGUGAAAUUAAAAAUGCAGGACAUAAGUUUUGUCAAAUUUUAUUAUUUGGAUUCCAAAUUAAAUCUUAUUAUGAUGCAUUAAGAUGAUUGAAUUGGUUGAUACACACAAACAUACAUCUCAUACAACUCGACUGCAAUCCGCAGGAGCGAAGGAUAAUAGUUUCUCUCUGACAUUGUACGAGAUACGGUGAUUGUAUUGGUAAUGUUCUCCGAGAAUGCUGAAGUUCGGAACACCUACUAUGCCGACGCAGAUUAUAUUCUUCUCCAUCUCCUCUAUCACAUGCUGCGGUGAAACGACGUAAUCGACGCCGCCGAUAAAGUGAAGCACGAAUCCAGGUAACUCCCCUUCAACCCCCUUGUGCGGCACUCUAUAACAAACCUCAAAGGAACUGUGAUUCGCCGGCUGCAACUUAAGCUGCUUGAAGUACGCUCUAAACGCCUCGCUUAUCCGCUCAUACGGGCCUCCCGUGCGGAACGCAGUAUAUGUUGAGCCCGAGUCGAUAAAAACGCCCCCUCUCAGUAACCCUUCGGCAUCUUUACGGAGAGCAAAAUCUUUUGGCGUGAAGCCGAGGCGAUGGCCGGCGACGCUCACGUCUGAGAGAGGAAGGUAGUACAGCGGCUGAGUCGGCACAUAGAUAAUGCGGAUAGUCUUUACAUGAGGGCCUUUAAGAAUGGCCUCAUCGCCGAACUUGAGCCGGCUCGGCGGCUGCCUAUUGCUCGUGAACGGCGGAAGGCAAUAUGAGAACCUGCCACCAAUCGGUCCCGUCAGCUGACUUGCGAGCGAUAAUGGCUCCAUGUCAAGGCCGAAAAGUCCUGAUAGCGCUUUUGGCAUCGAGAAACCUCGGUUAUCAUUUGCGCAACCGAAGACAAAUUUAUGCACAAACUCCUUUUGGGACCUGUCGGAGGAAAAACCUAAUGUCUCGGAGGCGAGGAGACCUUUCGAUGAAGAGCCCUCGGCAUAUUUUAUGGUGUAGUGGCAUUGGCCUUUAACGCAUUUCCUAUCCGGGUCGCUCAAAUCGCACAAUGUAUGGUUGCAAGGGAUGGGUUCAAAGGAGCUGGACUCCCUGGCGGGAUGGAAGAUCGGCACGGGCUGUUUCCAACAAUGAAUGCAUGGCUUGCAUUGCAUCCAUAAGAUGUCGCUGGCAGUGUCCAUGACUAAGUAGUAUUUCCUUUUGGCGGGCGUGCCGAUGUAGAUCUCUACCAUGUAGACAUGGGGCUGAGCUUUGAUAGUAGGGCGCAGAUGUUCCACGCUAUAGUUGAGACCUAAGAGGGACGGUCUCAAGGUUUGUGCGCGCGCUAUGUUAUCUGCAUAAAGGCGCUUCGCCCUCUCAUAUUUAGUGAGGUUUCCGGGAAAGAGGGGAGAAUACACCGAGUACUUAUGAAUCAAAUUGAAGUGCAGAGAAUGAACAAUUUUCAAUGAAAGUGCUAACAGAAAAAAGGUGAUACGCCAUGUUGGUGCCAUUUCUAAGCCUUAAUUUCUUAAUGGAGACUUAAUUCAAUCACUGUACUAUUUAUUUGAUUAGUAUAAUAGAAAGCAACUAGAGAUUUUCCAACAAGCUGUAGCUUUUGGAUGUAAAAUGUUGAGUUUGAAGUUGUUGUAUCUCAAAUUUAUAGAUGUUAAGUGCCAUUAUGGUGGUGAUAUCUUCUGUAGAUAUGCAUAUCUUAACUUUUUCAAAAUAGUAGAUAACAAAAAUAAUAUAUUCCUCGUAAAGGAUAAGAAAAAAGAAAAAGAAAAUAUCAAUUGCGCAUUCUAUGCCUAUGCACUGUAAUCAUAUAAACUAAUAAACUAAAUAUCAAAAAUGAAAUUGCCACUCGUUAGAAAAUGAAAUAGUAACUUGCAUAAUAAAAGUAGGUUUUCAUUCAGGAAUUGAGCUUUUAUGCUUUCAAAAUUACCAAGCCAUUGUGCUUGGAGUUUUCUGCAUUUGGAUGAAGAUUUGUUAGGUUUGGAUAUAUAAUAGUGAUUCCCUAUGGUUUAGUAGGUGGUUGGUGAAAUACCCUGAUCUAACGGUGAAAAAUUUACAAGCAUCAAGUACUUAGUGCUUUUAAAUACAGGAUAGCUGGACUCGCAAACCAGUAUAUACCUAUAUAUAUAAGAAAUGCAUGUUAUGAAAUUACUUUAAUGCCCUACUUAUAUAUAUAUAUAUAUAUAUAUAUAUAUAUAUAUAUAUAAAAUAUAUAUAUAUAUAUUAUAUAUAUAUAUAUAUAUUAUCUUAGUUAGUAAAGAUUCGCGAAUUAUUUCGACGAAUUAUUGAAAUCGAAUUAAACGGCUUUACGAAUUUUUCCGAAAGAAAGGAAAUUAUUCGCGAAUAUUUGGCCAGCCGAAUUAUUCGCGAAUAAUUCGCCGAUUAUUGCCGAAUUAUUGAAAAUAUGAAUAAAAAACUUAUAGUUUUAUUUUAAAUAUAAAUUAUUUUAUAUUUUAUAUCUUAUUUUAUAUUUUAUACGAAUUCGUUUUUAGACCGAAUUUUUCAACAAAUUUAAAAAAUUAGAAACGAAUUUUAUACGUAUUAUAUCGUACCGAAAUUUUGCGAAUCCGAAUUAACUACUAUGUGUAUUAUACUAAAAGAGUCAUCCAACAUAACUCUCUAAAAUUUAUUUUUAAAUUAGAUAAUUUAUUAUAAAUACUUCAAGAAAAAAAAAAAAAAAAAAAAAAAAAAAAAAUAUAUAUAUAUAUAUAUAUUAUAUAAUAUAUAUAUAUAUUAUAUAUAUAUAUAAAAGCACGCAUUUUAGCUUAGGUCUACGACAGUCGACAGACCCACUUUUUGGAGGAAAAAAAUGUUGGUUCCUCUUUUUCCUCGUGCAAAAAAAAAUAAUGUAUUGAAAAAACAUUUAAUUUAUCUUUUUCUCUAACGGAUAACGUUUUAUUUUCUAUUAAAUAUUUAGAUAUCAUUCCAUAUCUUUUUUUUGGUAAUAUUUUCAGAUUAUCUCAAUACAAUUUACUAAAUUUUUAGUUGUUAUAUUAACUUUUUAUUUAUUUGUCCUUAAAAAUAAAAUUUAAAUUUAAAUUUAUAAUUUUAUUCUUAUUUGAUUUUAAUGAUAUUUCCUCUUAAAUUUCGAGUUAAAAUUUAUUUAUAUGUUUUAAAUUUAACUUUAUAAAUUAAAAUUUGAGUUUAAAUCGUGAAUUAAGUUUAAUUUUGGAUAUAAUUUUUGAAUAACAACUUAAAAAUAUUAGUUGAAGUGAAUCAAAAUAAAAUUUUAAAUAUUAAAUUAGAGGUGAAUUAAAAUUUUGAUUCUUUUGAAAUCUGACUCCUUUGGGUGCAAACAAGAUUGCUUGAUUUUUCUCCCUUAAUUAAGCUGGCUUGUUGGGCGAUGUCAACAGGUCGGAUUCGAGAUGGGUUUUCAUAAACCGGGUUCCAAACCCAACUACAACUGAAACUCAAACUCGAAUCUGAAUCUGACGAAUUUUAAAAAUUCAUGUUCUAACCCGAACUCAAUAAAAAAAUCCGAAACAAGACCCCGAACCCGAAUCUGAACAGGAAAACCCAAAUCCGAAAUAAUUACUUCUUUUUACCAUAUUUUAAACAUAUAAUAUUAAAUUUAAAAUUUUAAAUUAUAAAUUCAAAUAUAACACCAAACAUAUAUAUAUAAUGUAAAAUCAAUUCGAGUUCGGGUUCGAGUUCAGAUAGAGAAAAAAUUCAUAUCCGAAUCCAAAUUCUUAAAAUUUUUAUUUUUUAUAUCUAUAUUCGAGACUAUAUUCAUUUAGUAUGGAUAAAUCCGCUCUAUUCUGAUUCGGGUUCCGAUAAAAUCGGCUAAGUACCCCUGGACAUCCCUAUGCAUUUAUGGCUUGGUCUCAAACUUUGCAAGCCUCCCAUGAGAGAGAAAUUUGGAGGGUGUUUAGUUUUCCAAAAAUAAAAAAUAAAAAAAUAGUUUUCUCACUGAAAAGUGUGUUUUCCUAUCCAUUUGGUUCCUAAAAAGAAUUAAAAUAUUUUAUUUUCAUGUUUUAUAGAAAAAGAGGUUUUUGUUUGUUUUUUUCAAAAACAGAAUUAUAGAAAGUAUUUUCUUAUAAUUUUUUUUUUAGAAAACAGUUUUCAGGAGAGCAUGUUUUCUAUGAUUUCUUUUCUCCUAGAAAGCAAGUUGUUUACUCUUUUUUAAAAUCAAAUACCCCUUAAUUAUAAUUGCAUUCAAAUUUAUCUUUUUAACUUUUUCACUUUGUGAAACCCAUGCAUUAAUUAUGGGUGUACUCCACAAAGCUUGGUAAAAAAAAAGUAGGCCCCCCUUCAAAAGGCAACAACUAGAGUAUUCUCAAUGGGGAUGUGAACAUGGGGAAACUAAAACUAGAGGACAUAAAUUUUAUUAAAUGUUAUCAAUUGCACUCCAAAUUAAAGCUUAUGAUGAUGCAUUAAGAUGACCGAAUUGGCGGAUAUACUAGACAUACAUUUCAUACAACUCGACUGCAAUCAACAGGAGCAAAGGAUAAUAGCUUCUCUUUGACAUUGUACGAGAAAUGGUGAUCGUACGGGUAAUGUUCUCCGAGAAUGCUUAUAUUCAGACGACCUACUAUAGUGACGCAGAUAAUAUUCUUCUCCACCUUCUCCAUCACGUACUGUGGUGGCACUACGUAAUCGACACCGCCGGUAAAGUGAAUUGUCAAGCUCGGUAAUGCCCACUUAAACCCCCUAUCCGACCACGUACCUAUAACAAAUGUCAAACAUAGUACGAUGCGUUGGCCGCAGCUUAAGCUUCUUGAAGUAUGCUCUAAAUGCCUCCCUUAUUCGCUCAUACGGGCCUCCCGUGCUGAAUCCAGUGUACGUUGAGCCCGAGUCGAUUAAAAAGCCCCCUCUUACAAACCCUUGAGCAUCUUUGUGAUGAGCAAAGUCUUUCGGUGUGAAGCCGAGGCGAUGGCUAGCAAUGCUGAUGUCUGCAAGAGGAAGGUACGUAGUACAAUGGAUGAUGAGUUGGCUCAUGGAUAAUGUGAAUUGUCCUUACAUGAGGGCCUUUAAGAAUGGCCUCAUCACCGAACCUGAGCCGGCUAGGUGAGCCGCCUAUUGCUCGUGAAUGGCGGCAGGCAAUAUGAGAAUCGACCCCCAGUUGGUCUCCCUUUAGUUGAUUUGGCAGUGAUAAUGGCUCCAUGUCAAGGCCGAAAGCUCCCGAUAACUCUUUUGGCAUCGAGAAACCUCGGUUAUCAUUUGCACAACCAAAGACAAAUUUAUGCACAAACUCUAUUUCGUGCCUAUCGGGAGAAAAACCUAAUGUCUCAUAGGCGAGGACACCUCUUGAUGAAGAGCCCUCGCCAUAUUUGAUAGUGUAGUGGCAUUGGCCUUUAACGUAUUUCUUAUCUAGAUCAUUCAAAUCGCACAAGGCAUGGUUGCACGGUGUAGGGUCAAAGGAGCUCGACUCUUUGGAUGGGUGGAAGAUCGGCAUGCUUUGUUUCCAACAAUGAAUGCAUGGCUUGCAUUGCAUGCAUAAGAUGUCACUGCUGGUGUCCAACACUAAAUGUAUUUCCUUUUGGCUGGUGUGCCGAUGUAGAGCUCUACCAUAUAGGAGUUGUUCAAACCUUUGAUAGUAGGGCGCAGAUGUUGUACACUAUAGUUGAGACCUAAAAGGGAUGGUCUCAAGAGUUGUGCGCGGGGUUAUGUCAUCUGCAUAAAGGCGCUUUGACCUCUCAUAUUGAGUUAAGGUUUCCGAGAAAGAGGGGAGAGUAGACUGAAUACUUAUGAAUCAAAUUGAAAUGUAGAGAAAGGACAACUUUUAAUGGAAGUGCUAGCAAAGUAUAGGUGACACUACAGGAAAACACGCUUGUAGAGGCGGUUUUUACCGCCGGUAGAGGCGGUUUAAACCGCCUCUACGAAUUGUAGAGGCAGUUUCUGCGACCGCCUCUAAAACGCCGGUAUAGACAGUGCCUCUACAUCCGUUUGAUAUCUUGUUUGCAAACAUCUCCAAUGCUUCACCUCUGCUAACAAACAUCUCCAAUGCUUAUAUGCUGCACAACCAAAAAUAGAAUCAGAAGGACUAACAAAGGUUUAAUAUCUUGUUUGCAAAACUUCCCAGAUCAGCAUCAUCACACAAUCGUACUCUCCCACUUAAAUUCCACCAAAAAUAUAUACAAAAGCCGACGGAAAAGAUCUACAAUCUUAUAAACUCCUAAAAUCAGCAGCAAAACAAGAUAUUCAAGCUUACCUGCAAAUAACAAAAAUAGAACUACUACAAAGAAUCUCUUUUCUUUACACAUUGCAAGUAAAUCUGCAGAGCUGUUAAUCAUUUUAAUCAUUUGCUCGCGGAUCCAAUGUAGAUGCAUCUAACUGAAGCUUUUGGAGGCUACAGCUCAAUCAAGCCACAAAAUGAUUUCACAAAAGACGAUUGUUAUAUAGUGGUUAAGAACUCGCUUUUUUUACAGUGUUGGCCCCUAUUAGCCUCGCAAAUUAGAGAGGAAAACAAAAAAGUUUGCGUAGAAAAAGUUUGCUGAUGAUGGAAUUAAUUAAGUUAAUUAACACGAAAGAUGCUUUUGGUUAGGUAAAUUAAGCCACACAAAAGGAGUAUAAGUACUUAAGAAAUAACGUUUGCAGUAUGUGUCAUUACUACACUUAUAUAUACAUUACAAAGCAAGGGAAAGCAAAAGUUUGGUAUUCUAAAUUGGGGGCCUCGGUUAAUUAAGUAAGGAUUAUUGCAAUAAAGAACUGGGCACCACAUGUUGAGCCGAAUUGCAUGCCCUGCAUUUAGCCUUUUAUUAUCCCAAUCAUUGAUGAACUCUUCAGACGCUAAUCUUUUCGUGCCCAAUGCUGGAAAAAGAAAAAAGGUAUAGGUUAGUAAGUUUCAAAAUAAAUCAUUAUGCAGGAUGGUGGCAAGAACUUGUAAUAAAAUGUGAAUAAAAAAGCUAACUAACAAUACGAAUUAACUAGCAAUAUGUUCGUGAAUAUAUAUCAUCCUCUAGUUACAUGUAAAUAAAAACACUCCAACUGUUCUUCAUCAAAAAAAGCAAAGCUACACCAAUCACCAAUGCAUCAGUUCCAUAAAUUACUAGAAUCUGCCAGCACUAAUUUAUAGAAAUCAUCUAAGAAUACUAUAAAAUAAAGUCCACUAGGAUAAGCAGUGAGGGAGGGGCGUAGUGGCGGGGAAGGGGUGAGGGGGUGGUGCCCCUAACAGAUUUUGUAGAGGCGGUUGUUACAAACGUCUUUGAACAACCGCCUCUACAAUAGCUUUUUCCUGUAGUGUGAUAUGCCAUGUUGGUGUCAUUUCUUACCCUUUCUUAAUGGAGACCUCAAUCACUAUAUUAUUUAUUUGAUUAAAACAGUAGAAAGCAAAUAGGGACUUUCCAAUGAGCUGUAACUUUCGGACCUGAAUCAGUAAAAUAUGAAUUGUGGGGUCUCUAAAAUGUAGUGUUUGAACUUAUUAUAUCUUAUAUUUAUAGAUGUUAGAUACCAUUUCAGGUCUGAAUCAAUAAAAUAUGAAUUGCGCGGUCUCUAAAAUGUAGAGUUUGAACUUAUUGUAUCUUAUAUUUAUAGAUAUUAGAUACCAUUAUGGUGAUAUCUUCUAUAGAUAUGCAUAUCUUAACUUUUCAAAUAGUAGAUAGCAAAAGUAAUAUGUUUAGUAAAGGAUGAGAGAAAAAAAGAAAAGAAAAAAAAGACUAUCAAUUGGGCAUUCUAUGUCUAUGCACUUUAAUUGUAUAAGAAAAUAUCUUACUAAAUAUUAAAAAUUAAUUGCAACUUGUUAGAAAAUGAAAUAGUAACUUCCAUCAAUAAAAGUAGGUUUUCAUUUAGCCAACCAAUAAAUACCUGUAUAAAAAAUGCAUUCAAUGAAAAGUGUCAAUGAACUAUAAUUCUUUAAAAUUUAUUAUUUAAAUUAUAUGUACAAUAUCACUAUAACAAAAACGGUGUAUAGCGACAUUUUUAAAUGCCAACACAGAUAAAAAAAAAAAUGCUGCUGGCUAAAUUACUGACACUUUUUAGAGUGUUGCUAUAUGUGGGGUCGCUAUAUGUAGGGCCGCGUUGAUGUUUGGCACCCGAGACCUGUUGCAGAGGGACACGUGGCGAUCGUAGCCCUCUUCGCGGCCAAAUUCCAACUGCCGAAACCUUACCUCGUCGACUGCUGCGACGGAGAAGGAGAAGGGGAAAUGAUGAUCAUUUUUUCAUUUUUUUUUCUUUUCUAUUUGUAAUCGGGCCAGGUGGGCUUGCUGGGGUUGGUUGAGUAGAGGAAUUUUUUACUUUUGAUUAGAUUGGGAUUUAUAUUUAGGCCUUAGUAUAUUUUUUAAAAAAAAUUUGGCAUUAAUAGGACACUUACACAAUAGUGUCCCAAAAAUAUGUCCCUAUGAUAUAAUUCUGUUGUAGUGUAUAUAUAUAAUCAUGUAUUUUAAAUUUGGGUCUACCAACAAAUUCAUUUUUAGCCGGGAUAAAAAAAAGAUAUUUAGUUUUUUCCUUUGAAAAUUGUGCUUCAAAAUUUUAACUUUAAAAUUAUUUACAAAUAAAUUAUCUAAAAAUAAAUGCGAUGUGCAUUGAAUGUGCGCUUUAACUAGCAUAUAAAUAUAUAGUCUGGCUUGUAUAUACUAUUAAAUCAUCGAGACCUCUGCGCUACCAAGUUAUUUUGAUGAUGAAAUAUCUGAAUUAAUGAUUGAUCCUUUUUAUAGAGAAUCCAAACUAUUGAAAGUAUCUAGAGAUCAAUUUUUAUGAUUUUUCGAUGUCAUUUACGAUAUGAAUUUAAAACUUGAUUCCGAAUUCGAAAUCAGAAUCCAAUGUUUGAAUCCAAAUUUGAAGUCUCAAUCUAAGUAUUUGAAUUCGGAUAUGAAAACGAACUAAAGUUUGAAUCCGAAUUUGAAAUCUGAUUGACCAUGGGUGAAAACUAAAUUGCUUGAUUUUUCUCCCUUUAGUUGGUUUGUGUCGAGUGUUUUAGAAAGCCUCUGUGAGAGAGAAAUUUAGGGGGGUGUUUGGUUUUCCAAAAAAGAAAAUUUCAGAAACAGUUUUAAAAAAAUAUUUUUCUGUUCAUUUGGUUCCUAAAGAAAAAAAUUUGAAAAGUUUCUUUUUUGAUAUUUUAUGGAAAAAAUAUUUUUUUUUACCAAAUUUUUUAUCCAAAAAAUUUGUAUAGAAAGUUUAUUUUUUUAUGAUUUUUUUUUUCUAGAAAGCAGUUUUUAGAAAGUAUGUUUUUUAUGAUUUUUUUUCUAUAAAGCAUUUUUUAUGCUUUUUCUAAAAUCAAAGUACCCCUUAAUUCUAAUUGCACUCAAACUUGAAGCACCUUUAGAUAUCUUAAAUAUAAAAUUAUAAAAAAUAUUACUCUUCACCAGCUAAAAAUUUGGAGAAAAUGAUUAUUUAAUUGAUUUUCUCCCCUUUAAUUCAGCCUCUCGUUGUCAUGGACCUAUCAAAAAGUCUCGAACCUAGAUAUAAGAAAAGGUAUUAAAUAUAAAAUUAAAAAAAAUAUAUCAUUUUUUACUGGCUUACGUACGCUUUUGGAGGGAACAGCUGUUUCAUUAAAGUUAACAAGAUAUGUCAUAUUGACCAAAUUAAUGUUUUCAACUUCAUCAUUUUGUCAACCCCAUACAUUAAUUAUGUAAGAGCAAAUAAUUAUGAUGCUAAUUAUACAAGUACUCAAACAAAAAUUGGUUUAUAUACACCAAAACAAUGUGUAACAAAAGCAAGCACACCUUCAAAAGGCAACAACUAGAGCAUUCUCAAUAGAGAUGAUGUUUAAAGCUAGAUGAACAUGGUGAUACUAAAAAUGCAGGACAUAAAAUUUUAGGGAAAACUUCAAAAACUUCCCCCGUGGUUUCAUAGUUUCUCACUUUGCCCCCCUGUGGUUUAAAAUGUAUCAAUUUGCCCCCCCUGUGGUUUCUUUUCUCUCUUUUUCUUAUCAAUUUCAUCAUUUUUUUUUCCUUAAAUCAGUGAUAAAGUUAAAAUUAAAGGGUAUUAAAGUGAAUAUUUGAUAAAUCUAGAUGGGCAUCUGAAGGUUUUUGUAUAUAAUUUAAUGAAAUAUUAACAAAAAAGCUACCGAAAAGAUAAAAACGAAACCACAGGGGGGGCAAAUUGAUACAUUUUAAACCACAGGGGGGCAAAGUGAGAAACUACGAAACCACAGGGGCUUUUUUUGAAGUUUUUCCUAAAUUUUAUUAAAUUAUAUCAAUUUCACUCCAAAGUAAAGCUGAUGUAUUAAAAUGACCGAAAUGGCGGAUACGCUAAAUAUGCAUUUCAUACAACUCGACUGCAAUCAGCAGGAGCGAAGGAUAAUCGCUUCUCUCUGACAUUGUACGAGAAAUGGUGAUUGUAUUGGUAAUGUUCUCCAAGAACGCUCAUAUUUGGACGACCUACUAUGCCGACGCAGAUUAUAUUCUUCUCCAUCUCCUCCAUCACAUUCUGUGGUGCCACUGUAUAAUCGACGCCGCCGCUAAAGUGAACCGUCAAGCUCGGCAAUGCCCCCUUAACCCCCUUAUGCGGCACUCUAUAACAAACCUCAAAUGAACUGUGAUUCGCCGACCGCAGCUUAAGUUGCUUGAAGUGUGCUCUAAAUGCCUCCCUUAUUCGCUCAUACGGGCCUCCCGUGCUUAAUGCGGUAUAUGUUGAGCCCGAGUCGAUAAAAAAGCCCCCUCUCACUAGCCCUCGAGCAUCUUUGCGAAGAGCAAAAUCGUUUGGCGUGAAGCCGAGGCGAUGGCCGGCAACACUGAUGUCUGAAAGAGGGAGGUAGUGUCGGAUCGUUGGCGCUAACCAUUAAUCCCAAAAGCUCGAGCUGUUAGAAAUACGCAACCAAUUCACUUAAAGCGUACAGAAACAGCGCCCACGGGUCUCGAUGGUGACUUGGCCCACCUGGCCUCACGCCACUUCGAACAUGACUCGGCCCAACCUAGCCUCACGCCAUUUCGAACAUGACUCGGCCCACAUGGCCUCCCGCCACAGGGCAGGAUGCUGGCCCACUUAAGCCAACAGGUAGUACAUCGGACGGCUGCCUAUUGCUCGUCAACGGCGGAAGGCAAUAUGAGAACCUGCCACCGAUCGGUCCCAUUAGCUGACUUGCCAGUGAUAAUGGCUCCAUGUCGAGGCCGAAAACUCCUGACAACUCCUUUGGCAUCGAGAAACCUUUGUUAUCAUUUGCGCAACCAAAAACAAAUUUACGCACAACAUCUUUUUGCGACCUGUCGGAAGAGAAACCUAAUGUCUCAGAGCCGAGGACACCUCUCGAUGAAGAGCCCUCGUUAUAGUCGAUAUUGUAGUGGCAUUGGCCUUUAACGCAUUUCUUAUCUGGGUCAUUCAAAUCGCACAACGUAUGGUUGCAUGGUAUCGGGUCGAAAGAGCUCGACUCUUUGGUCGGGUGGAAGAUCGGCAUAGUUUGUUUCCAACAAUGAAUGCAUGGCUUGCAUUGCAUCCAUAAUAUGUCACUGCUAGUGUCCAUGACUAAGUAGUAUUUCCUUUUGGCGGGCGUGCCGAUGUAGAGCUCUACCAUGUAGACAUGGGGCUGAGCUUUAAGAGAAAAACGGAGAUGCUCUACGCUGUAGUUGAGACCUAACAGGGAUAGUCUCAAGAGUCGUGCGCGAGCCAUGUCAUCUGCAUAAAGAUGCCUCGCCCUCUCAUAUUUUGUAAGGUUUCCAGGAAAGAGAGGAGAGUAGAUGGAGUAUUUAUGGAUCAAAUUGAGGUGUAGAGAAUGAACAAUUUUUAGUAAAAGUACCAAGACAAAAAGAACGAUAUGCCAUGUUUGUGCCAUCUCUUACUCUUUCGUAAUGGGGACUCUAAUCAUAACAAUAUUAAUUUGAUUAGAACAAUAUAAAGCAAAUAAGGAUUUUCUAACAACCUAAAAUUUUUGGACAUGAAUCAAUAAAAUGUGAAUUGUGCGGCCUCCAAAUGUUGAGUUUGAAGUUAUUGUUCAUUAAAUUUAUAGAUGUUAGGUACCAUUUUGGUGAUAUCCUUGAGAUAUGCAUAUCUUAACUUUUCCAAAUUUCAUAUAGCAAAAGUAAAAUAUUCUCAGUAGAGAUUAUAAAAAAUAAAAAACUUCCAAUUUGGUAUUCUUUAUCUAUACACUCUAAUUAUACAAGUUAAUAGCUUAUUAAAUACUAAAAAAGAAAUUGCAACUUGUUGAAAAAUAGAAGUUUUAUUAGUAAAAGUAGUUUUAAUUUAGCAAACAAUGUAUAGUAAAAUGAAUGACAUGGAAUUACUUUAAUAACCCUACAUAAAAUUUUCGCACAUGUGAUCCCCUGAUUAACAGGGGGUCACCCAUCCUAAUACUACUCUAACUCUAUAAACACACUUAAUCCUCUUAACCUUUUAGGUCUAACCACUGUCCAAAAUACUACAGCCGGAUUAAUAGGUCUAAUUCUAUUAUAUCUUAUAUAUAUAUGACUAUUUCAAAUAUUAGGGGUGUCACAUUCCUCCCCCCGUUAAGUCCUGACAUUCUUGUUAGGCUCAAGCAUAUUUACAAGCACCGGGCGAUGUGAGAUUCGUUGCAUCAGCCUUUGACUGAUAUUGUAGGAAACUGAGCUCCACCCACAAUGGUUAUCAGAUGGGAAGCUGCGCUCUGCCCGUUAUGUAAUUCUAGCUAAGCUGAGACUCAUUUUAUAUUUCUUGCUGGUGGUUGGUUUUGAUACCAACUGUGACGCCCGCUUCCCAAAGGGUCAUCUAUUCUAGAACUAUUCUAGCUCUAGUACGCUUAACCCUUUUGACCACUUGGGCCUAACCACCGCCCAAAUGCUAUAGUCGGAUUAAGAGGUUUAGCCCUAUUAUAUUUUAUAUAUAGGAUUAUUCUAAAUCCUAGGGGCGUCACAAAAUGUAACAUUAUCUUGUCAUAAUUUGCUAAAGAUGUCACGGCCCGAGUCCUGCCGGUUGGACUUGCUCGGGCAUGUGCAAAAUACCUGCUGAACAGGCAAGGUUCUUCUACCCACAGGAAGCGAAAUAUAUACCAACCUGAAAAACUCAUAUAUGAUAUAGGUACAUAGAACACCAGAGCGAAUACUUCUAAAUUUAUCAUUUCAACAUUAACUCUUUAGCUUACAAUAUUUGAUUUAACCGAAAAUGUUACAUUAUUUACUCAACAAAAAAAGGUACUUUUCGUUGACCAACUAACCACGAUCUAUCUAGCUCACGAUACUUUUACCAUGGUCCCAUGCUUCGUCAGCGGUAGAAGGCUUUGAAAAGAGGUAAUUAAACGUACAACAAAGGGUUGAGAACUUUAAAUAUGUUUUCAGUUGGUGUAACAUCCAAAAGUAGCUCGCUAUACUCACUUAGUCCAAAAGAAGUAUUAGUAGAUAACAAUAAUAAGUAAAAUAGCAAUUUCUAUAAAAGAAAUAUAAGUAAAUAAGAUACAACUACGAUGCCUCAAGAUACAUAUACAAUAUGCCACUAGCGACACUAUGUCAAUGGUUUAUAAGUUUACCCAACUAGCUCUUGUCACUUACUAAUUAUUUGGUUUGGUAUUAUUUCUCACUAUAUACCUCAUGGAGAGUCCAAGGCUAUCGACGUCCCUCCAAUCAGUGAGCACUUGGCAUUGAAGAAAAUUGGCAUCACUAAGUACUGUAGGGAGUCGAGAGGAUUGGCAUCUCCCAAGUACAAAGUAGGGCAUCGAGAAAAAUUGGCACCACCCAAUAUAACACUUCCAUAAGGUCUCAACGUGUCCCACAAUUAUACCCUAAGUUUUUAUGACUUUUAGGGUUAUCCAUAAGGUUUAUUACCAUAUUCUUUUAUCUCUAGUUUCAAGUAUUGCCUAGAGUUCAUAUGUCACUAUGUUGUUCACACAUUAUGUUCUAACAUUUUCUCUCUUUCUCUCAUUUCUUUUUCUUCACUUCACUUAACCCUGCACCACCAGCAGACACCCCUUUCUCUCUCUCUCUCUCUCUCUCUGUCUCUCUCUUAUUUUGUCUUUUUUUUUUUCGUUUUCUUACCCAAGUAGGGGUGUAAUGUGGGCCGUGUUGAGCCAGUACAGCCCACAUUAGUCAGGGCCGGAACAGGCUAGGAGUUGGCCCGGCUCGGCUCGGCUUCAUAUCCGGGCCAAGGCGGGCCAGGUUGGAGCAAACAAGCCUCCUGCUCGGGUCGUGUCGGGCUAGGCCAUGUUUCGGGCUUAAACUUUUAUUUUUUAUUUUUUUAAAAUAUGCAAAAUUUUAAAAAUAAAAAAAUAUAUUAGUUAAAUUGAUAUUUUGAUUAAAAAUUUUAAAAUUUUUUUAAAAAAUAUAAAAUAUAACAUAAUAAAUUUUUAUUUUAAAAAAAAUAUAUGCAAUGUUAUUAUUAUUAUUUUUGAAAAAAAAUAAAGUUUUUGGUCUAAUAAAUCAAAUUGUUUGGUCCAUUAGACCAAAAAUCACUCCUCCCAAGUCACUCCUCCCAAGGUCUGCCACUACAGACCUUGGGAGGAGAGCUCCUAGGACCAAGCCCUUCUCCCUAGGAGCUAGGACCCCUAGGGCCAUAGCGUUCGGACCGUGCUAGCCCGGCUGGCAUGGCCCAAGCGGGCCGUGUCGUGCUGGGCUGUGGGCUCUCCUCGGCUUGGCAUAGCCCAGGCCUGAUUCGUGCCAGACCGUGCCGAGCCAUCGGGCCUAAAAUUUGAGGCUUAGCACCACCCCAACGGACCGGGCCGGCAUGGGUGGUACAGCACUCGUGUCGUGCUGCAGCAAAAUCCGAAGCCAUGCCGGGCCGGGCGACCCAUGGGAGGCCCGGCCCGUUUUACAUCCCUACAACCAAGCUUACUCUCUAAUCUCCUCUACAGCUCUACUCUAUUAGCCCUCUUUUGGCCUUAAUAACCUUUUUUAGCGCUCUUUCUUUUUUUUUUUUCUUUUGGCUAUUUUGUGAGUAUGUGAGCAUCUCCUCAUCAUUUUCAAGCACCAAUGUGAAAGUCAGGAUUGCCACAAGAAGGGGCACGACGAUGACAACAAUAGAGAAGAGUAGAUUUACUCCUUCCCUUUUAAAUUUUUCGUUAUCACUUUUGAGUGUAAUUGGAUAUCUUGGCUAAGGUUCCUAUCCGCAGAAGUUCUUGCUGACUCCACAGCACAGUCAGAAGCACGGAUUGGAGUAGCAAGCUCAAAACUCAUGAAAAUGACCUCAUAUGUUGAUUUUUCUUGAAGGUUUACUCUUGAUUUGGUUUCACACUAAAUAGCUUCUUAUUCGAUGUGCUCUAAGUUGAUUUUGGUGCCCUAGACUGUGUGCGGUCGAUCGACUGCGCCUUUGUAGUUAAUUAUCAUAAAAACUAGUAGGUAGGCGACGAGAUCCAGUGGUUAAACCAGUAUAUGUACAAGUAUUGCUCCAUGUUUUUGAGAUUCUAUUGAAAAUGAAAAAAACAUUUUCCUUUAUAUUCUCGUCUUAUCUUUGUUUUUGCCCACUAGCAUUACAUGGACCUCAGUACUAAAUGGACUGUUAAAAGUUUAGGUACUACUGCGUCCAACUUGAAAGUAUGAGGAUGAAGAUAAAAUUCGACCGAAAGUUUGGGGACCAGAAGUGCAAUUUAUCCAAAUCACAAUUCACAAAACUUUGUAAGGAUCAACAUGUAGUUAUAAAAUUGUGCAGGGAUAGAUAUGAAAUUAUGCCAUUUUCAACUGUUCCUAAAACCCAUUUCGCACGCCCUCUUCCAUCGCGCCAUCUCUCUCUCUCUCUCUCUCUCUCUCUCUCUCUUCCCCAUCAAAACCCUAAAAACCACUCUCCGACGACGACGUCGACGACGACGACGACGACGACGACGACGAAGAAGGAGGGGGUGGGGGAGAGAUUGAUAUCGCGAUCGAGGUCGAGGGAUCGGGCGAUCGAAGAUGAGCACGGUGGACAAGAUGCUGAUCAAGGGGAUCCGGAGCUUCGGUCCGGAGAACAAGCACGUCGUCACCUUCUUCAGGCCCCUCACGCUUAUCGUCGGUCCCAAUGGCGCUGGAAAAACCGUAAUUAAACCCUUCCCUAUCCCCCCCCUCCCCUUCCCCUUCGGGCUUUUCUCCAUUGCUUAUCUCAGUCUAGCUCUUAUGGUCUCCUCUCCCUCUCUUUGUAGACUAUUAUUGAGUGUUUGAAGCUAUCGUGCACUGGCGAGCUCCCGCCCAACUCCCGCUCCGGCCACAGCUUCAUCCACGACCCCAAGGUGCGAAACCGCGGUCAAAAUCUCUCUUUUGAAUGUUUAGCGUGGUGGGUUUUGCUUCAAUUGAAUUUGAUCUUUUGUAAUUGUGGAAUCAGUGACAUAAAGGCGCUAAAGUUGUUAAAAUUCCUCAUUUGAGCGUUUGGAUUACUGUGCUUUGCUGCAAUUGAAUUGGUUUAUUGUAAGUGUCAGACCUUUUUAAACUCCCUAAUUUGAUCACGUAGAGUAGUGGGCUUAGCUUUCCUUGCAUUCUGUUGCAUUUCUUUUAACUGUGGAAUCUCUUGUUAAAAUCCCUCAUUUGAUCGUUUAGAGUGGUGAGUAUUUUUUUUUCUGUUGAAUUGGGUUUCAUGUAAUUAUGAAUCGGUGACCUAAGGUGUUAAACCUCUGCAAUACCUGCCAUUGGAUUGUUUAGACUAGAUGGUUUUGCUUCAUUUUGAUAAGGAUUUUUGUAAUUAUGGAAACGGUGAGCCUUGGUGUUGAACCUUGUAAACAUACCUCAUUGCGGAAAACAGUGACUUUUAAGUCGUUAAACCUUGUCGAAACCGCUCAUUUGAUUGUCUACAAUAGUGGGAAUUGCUUCACUUGAAUUGGGCUUUUCAUAAUGGUGGAAUUGGCUACCUAAGUUGUUAAACCUCAUUAAAAUUCCUCGUUUGAUUGUUUUGAUUAGUGGGUUUUGUGUAAUUGGGUAAUUGGUGAAGGUGGCGGGAGAGACCGAGACAAAGGGGCAGAUCAAGCUUAGGUUCAAGACAGCUGCAGGAAAGGAUGUUGUGUGCAUCCGAUCAUUCCAGCUUACACAGAAGGCUUCAAAGAUGGAGUUCAAGGCUAUCGAGAGUGUACUCCAAACCAUCAAUCCCCAUACCGGAGAAGUAAAUCUUUGUCUGUCCCUUUAGAAUUGUUACUCAUUAACAAGUGAUUUGAUUUAUUACUUAUUUGAUUGCUUGUUGGAUUGGUGUUUUGAGUGUAGAAGGUUUGCCUUAGCUAUAGAUGUGCCGACAUGGAUAGGGAGAUACCAGCUUUGAUGGGGGUUUCAAAGGCUAUAUUGGAGAAUGUCAUAUUUGUUCACCAGGACGAGUCCAAUUGGCCGCUACAGGAUCCUUCGACAUUGAAGAAGAAGUUUGAUGAUAUUUUUUCUGCUACACGGUACUUCUUAGUCUUGCCUUGUAGUCUUUUCAAAGAAGUUGUUGUCAUAUUUACCUUGUGCUCAGCUGACGAUCCUUUCAUGUUGAUAUUUGUUUGCUUCUUCAUUCUUUUCUCUUUAGUUACAUAACAUGCUGAUAACUCUGAAAACAACUAUUAAGGUAACUGCCUAUAUUGCUGUAAUAGUGUAGUGCUCAUAAAUCAUGAUAAUGCUUUAAGCUUUCAUGGCAACUCGCACUAUUAUUUGGUUUUAUUUGGCCGAAAUUCCAAUUUGAACUCCGAGAGGGCUGAUGUUAGGUUGGAAUGAAUUAUUUUAAUGAUGCAUUUUUUAUUAUUGUUGUCCUUCAGUUGUGUUCUGGCAGACAACAUUUUUUUGCGGAAAGGUUUACUGUGAUUUUUUUUUUCCUCCCUUUAAGCUUUACUUAAAAAUUUUCAUGUAACAUAAAAGGUGUUGUCGCAUUGGCUUUUAUUUACUUCAAAUCUUUCUACUUUUGUCUCUUCUAAUUUUGGAGUCAUUAUGUACUAGAUUUUCCUAAUGUUCCUAUUGGCUUUUCCCCAUUAUAGUUACACUAAAGCUUUGGAAGUAAUAAAGAAACUUCACAAGGAUCAAGCACAGGAGAUAAAGACUUACAAGCUGAAGUUGGAGCACCUUCAAACUCUUAAAGAUGCAGCCUAUAAGGUACUGACAAUCACAAUUAUGCAUCUGGGGUGGCCUUAGAUCAUGGUCUCAUUUUUCUUUUGAACGUAUAGCUUUUAUCAUAACUCAGAAACUAAGAGACCCCCUGUAUGACUAGGGGUGUAAACGAGCCGAACACGAGCGAGCUGGGGUCGGCUCGUGUUCGGNGGGGUGUAAACGAGCCGAACACGAGCGAGCUGGGGUCGGCUCGUUAAAGUAUCGAGUCGAAAAAUUCAGCUCGUCUUUGGCUCGUUUAUUAACGAGCUGAACACGAGCUGGCUCACGAGCUAGCCAACGAAUAAUAAAUUAAAAAUGAUUAGAUUAAAUAUAUAUAAAAAAUAAAUUUGUAAAAUCUUAUCCAUUAGACUUUGAUGUAAUAGUUGAAACUUUACAUAUAACUGAGUUUUUUUAUAAUUGAGCUCGCCUUUGUAUUUUUAUUUUGCUAAAAAUUAAAUAAUAAAAAUAUAUAUUAUAUAUAAUUAUUUAUUUAUAUAUAUAAAUAUAAAUUAAAUAAGUUAUAUAAAUAUAAAAUAUAUGUAUUCGAGCUGUUAUCGAGCCGAACACGAGCGAACUGACCUCAGCUCGUGUUCGACUCGUUUAUUAAACGAGCCGAAAAAUUCAGCUCGUGUUCGGCUUGUUAAUAAACGAGCCGAACAUGAGCUGGGGUCAGCUCGCUCGUGUUCGGCUCGAUAACAGCUCGAAUACAUAUAUUUAAUAUUUAUAUAAUUUAUUUAAUUUAUAUUUAUAUAUAUAAAUUAAUUUUUAUAUAUAUAUAUAUAUAUAUAAAAAUUAAUUUAUAUAUAUAAAUAUAAAUUAAAUAAGUUAUAUAAAUAUAAAAUAUAUGUAUUCGAGCUGUUAUCGAGCCGAACACGAGCGAACUGACCUCAGCUCGUGUUCGACUCGUUUAUUAAACGAGCCGAAAAAUUCAGCUCGUGUUCGGCUUGUUAAUAAACGAGCCGAACAUGAGCUGGGGUCAGCUCGCUCGUGUUCGGCUCGAUAACAGCUCGAAUACAUAUAUUUAAUAUUUAUAUAAUUUAUUUAAUUUAUAUUUAUAUAUAUAAAUUAAUUUUUAUAUAUAUAUAUAUAUAUAUAAAAAUUAAUUUAUAUAUAUAAAUAUAAAUUAAAUAAGUUAUAUAAAUAUAAAAUAUAUGUAUUCGAGCUGUUAUCGAGCCGAACACGAGCGAACUGACCUCAGCUCGUGUUCGACUCGUUUAUUAAACGAGCCGAAAAAUUCAGCUCGUGUUCGGCUUGUUAAUAAACGAGCCGAACAUGAGCUGGGGUCAGCUCGCUCGUGUUCGGCUCGAUAACAGCUCGAAUACAUAUAUUUAAUAUUUAUAUAAUUUAUUUAAUUUAUAUUUAUAUAUAUAAAUUAAUUUUUAUAUAUAUAUAUAUAUAUAUAAAAAUUAAUUUAUAUAUAUAAAUAUAAAUUAAAUAAGUUAUAUAAAUAUAAAAUAUAUGUAUUCGAGCUGUUAUCGAGCCGAACACGAGCGAACUGACCUCAGCUCGUGUUCGACUCGUUUAUUAAACAAGCUGAAAAAUCCAGCUCGUGUUCGGCUCGUUUACUAAACGAGCAAGUCGAUCUCGAGCUCAUUUCGAGCCGAACACGAACUGGGGUCAGCUCGCUCGUGUUCGGCUCGAAAUAAGCUCGAGAUCGGCUCGCUCGUUUAGUAAACGAGCCGAAUACGAGCUGCAUUUUUCAGCUUGUUUAAUAAACGAGUCGAACACGAGCUGGCUCGCGAACAGCGAGCUGGAUUGCCACCCCUAGAUAGACCCUUGUUAUCAUCCCGAAUAAUAGCAGUAAGAUAUUGUCAAAAUAAAAGGAUCUGCAAUGGUAUUAAUUUCCAACACUGUACUCUCUUUUAUGUCAUCAAAGGCAUAAAAUCGCUUCAGGGCGUGUUUUCCCUCAAAAAAAAAAAAAAAAAAANUCUUGGAGAUAUCACUUGUUUCUUAUUUUUAGUACUUGUUCUAAUACCAUGGUCUCAUAUACGUACGAUUCAAUCACAAUUAUGCAUCAUGGUCUCAUAUUACUUUUGAAGUAAUAGUUUUUAUCAUAAGUCAGAAAAGAAGAGACUUGACUCAAUUCAUUUUUUGUGCUUAAAUAAAUUCUAAUAUAUUUCUAACUAUUGCGAUAUUGUUCUCAAUAAGCCUGGGUUAUUUUGAAGAAGAGGCUAAUUUUAACUACACUAAAACCCGCCUGAGCUCAAUGACUAGUAUUGAGUUUCUGAUUUCUCACCAAGUCAACUGAGUUUCUCCAAGCUUGACUUCUCUGAGUUCCGUACACUGAGCUUAUAUCUGAGUCAACUUGAGAUCAAGCUGCACUAAGAUAGAACUCUUCCAAGUUUUGAGUCAACUCUGGAAGUUUUUGAAGUAUGCUUCUUUAUCAAUGGGUUGAAUGCUACAAGUAUGUCAUUUUCUAGUUUGUACUUGUUGGAUUCAGAUUCAUGACAAACAGUUGAUACUUGUUUCUUGCAUUUACUGAUACUUGUUUCUUGCAUUUACUGCUCAUUUUGUAUUAGGCUGUAUUUGUUUCUCUUUUGACAACAUUUUCUGUGCUGUUUCAGGACAUACUAAUGAUGGUUCUUGUUACAGCUUCGUGAGAAUAUUGCUCAAGAUCAAGAGAAAUCUGAAUCCUUGAAAACCCAAAUGAAAGAACUAGAGAUGAGCAUCCAAGGCGUGGAGAGUAAGAUCACUCAUACUGAAACAACUCUGAAGGAAUUGAGGAAGCUUCAAGAUCAGAUUUCAACCAAUACUACUGCAAGAAGCACGUUGUUCAAGCUUCAGCAGACACAAUAUGCUGCUCUCGUGGAGGAAAAUGAAGGUACUCGCUUCCUCUUCUUGGGGCCUGAUAUAUUUUUUGUUCAACCUAGCUUUAAAGGAGCUUCUCUACUCUAAAAACCAGAAGCUUUUAGUAGCCAAACAUUGGCUAACAGAAACUGUCGAGCUUUUACUGGGGCACAAAGCUAAAUGAGCUUUUGGGCCCGAAAAAGCAGAACUCCAAUAUAUACCUGAUAAAAUCAGAAGUUUCUGGAAAACAGUCUAGCUAACAAAAAGUAUAGAAUUCUUAUUGUGUUGAGAAGCUUAAGUGAGAUUUGGGUUCCAAAAGCAGGUCCUAUUUGAACUACUGCUUCUGCUGAUGUAAGAAGCUGCUGAGGAGAUUCUAAGAAAGAAGAUGUCACUAGCUUAUUGCUUCUCUAAACAGCUCUAAACAAAAAUCACAUUUGUAGAAGCUUCACCUGGACCAAAAUAGGUCCUCAGCGUGUCAACUUUCUGCCGGAUUAACAACUGUCUUCCUUUCCGUUUAGAUACUGACGAGGAGCUGAGGGAAUGGCAAACAAAAUUUGAAGAGAGAAUUGCUUUAUUAGAGACUAAAAUUAAUAAGCUGGAGAGGGAGAUGAAGGAUGAAGAGACUAAAAGUUCCUUGCUGUCGCAGACCAUCAACGAUUCUAUGCGUGAGAUUGGAAAACUUCAGGCUGAAGCUGAUGUAAUUUGCUAGGUUUCUGUUUUGGCCUUUCACGGGCUGUUUUGUCUGGCCUCUAGAAAAGCUUCUUCACUCUGAAAUGUAGUAACUAUGCAUUUGGAAAAUGAAAGAUUUGGAGGUUUUGCAAUGGUGGGAAGCUAAAUGAGCUUCUAAGCCAUAAAGCGGAAGCCUUAGUUUGAAGCUUCUAAUUUUCCCAAGUGAAGUGAAAAAACUGCUGUUGUCUUUCGACCGACUUAACAGCAUUUUUCUACCGAAGCUCCAACCAGGCCAUACAGGCCCUCAAUAUUUUAUUUUACUACACAUGUUGUGCUUCAAAUGAUGGUGCACAUCUUUCAGGCUCAUAAUGUUGUGAGGCACGAACGUGAUUCGACCAUCCAGAAGAUAUUUACGAAACAUAAUCUUGGGUCUCUUCCUGAUGCCCCUUUCAGUAAUGAUGUGGCUGUCAACCUGACAAACAGACUAAAGAUGAGGUUAUUAGAUCUUGAGAAGGAUUUACAGGAUAAGAAGGUGCUUGCAUAGUGAAACUUGAAGUUUGCUAUCUCAAGUACAUACUUUAUAUGAUUUUAUGUGGCUGCAAUUGUCUUAUCUUGAAAUAUUCAUUCAAUUGUCUUUCACCUUUCUUCCUGUUGUAAUCAUUACAACUGCUGCAUAAAAUGAGUCACUCGUGCAAAUGUUUGUACCCUCCUUACUGUUGUUUUAUGAUUAGAGAAACUGAAAUGCAAAAACAAAAUUGGUUGUGUGAAUCCAUUAAGAUAACCUUCAAAGGGACUGAGUUUUUAUUUCUCUCCUUUCACAUGCCGCCAAAAGCCUCAAUUUUUGCCAUGCAGUAUUCCAAUGACGCUUGAAGUUAUUUCUUUACAUUAGAUUAAGAUAUUGUUCCUGUAAUACUAAAUUUAAUGCUUUGGCAUGAUGCAUUCUGCUUAUGCAGAAAGCUGGUGAGAUGGAACUGAAGUUUCUAUGGGAGCGUUAUGUUGCGGUAAAUGCUCGUUGCUCUGAAAUCGAAGGCCAGAGGCAAGCUAAGAUUGAAUCUAAGGUCUGUUCUGGAAAUGUACAUUUUGGUUUUAGCUUCAACCACUCUAUUUAAUACUUGUUAGGUCUGGCUUCUACUGGGAGAACCAGCUUUGAGAAGCCACGUUUGGCUAACAAGAUGUCUGAAAUUUUCUAUGCCGGGAAGUUGAAAUGAGCUUUGGGUUCUAAAGCAAAAGCUCUAAUUUGAAAUUUUUGUUUCUGUUGUAGUGGGAAACAGUCGAAUAUAUAUAUAUGUGUGUGUGUGUAGAGAGAGAGAGAGAGAGAGAGAGAGUUGAGUUAGAAUAUUGUCGGUAGCAAACAGACUUUGUUGCUACCGAUUUGUUUUUGAUGAUAGAGCCUCCGAAUCGAUGAUCGGCACCGUUGAACAUGAUCUAGAUUACUUGAAAUAUUUAGAAAUCACAUUUUAAAUUUUUUCGACAUUAGUGAUCUAAUGAUCAAAGGGUCGCAAAAUUUAUAAUUUUAAUGGUUGAUAUGAGUCAUUUUCUCAUUUAAUGGUGUAAAAGAAUUUAAAUCAGUUGAAUUUUUGUUAGAAAAUUCCUUAAACUAUUUGAAACAAGAUCUACACUCUUGAUCUUGAUUAUAAAAAUUCUAUCAUCACUUUUAAAGGAUAUUUAUUUUUAGCCGUUCAUUUUUUAUUUUCCACUUGAUGUACAAGAGAACAAUAUAGAAAAAAAAAGAAAUUUGAAUUCUAAAUACAUUAGUGGUGCCGAUUAUUAAGUGGCCUAGAUCAUGUUUAAUGGUGCCGAUCGUCGAUUCAGAGGCUCCAUCAUCGAAAACAAAUCGGUAGCAACGAAGCUCGUUUGCUACUAAUAGUAUUUUAGCUUAACUCUAUAUAUAUAUUUAUACAUGCAUAUACAUAUAUAUACUUAUACAUUUAUAUUCAUAUAUUUAUAUAUAUUUCUUUAUUUAAUUUUUUUCUUUUGGUGCAAAAGCUCUAGCUUGGCGAAACAGCCCUUGUCAUUUGUUUGUAAAAUAAUUUCUGUAUUAUAUUUAUCCUCAGUUUGGAAUUUCAAAGCGCAUAAAAGAGAAGGAGAAUGAGCGAGAUUUUGCUGAACAAGAACUAUCAAACCUUAAUCUGGCGCACAUUGAUGAUCGGGAGAGAAACCUGGUGCUUGUUCUUUCUCAUCUCGUUAGGAAAAAGUUCUUAACUAUUCAUAUGAAAAUAAAAUCUUUCAUUUUGUUUUGAUUGUAGCAAAUCGAGGUUGAGAGGAAAACUCUUGUCUUGGGAGAGAGGGACUAUGAAUCAACAAUAAACCAAAAAAGGACGGAGAUAUUUAGCAUUGAGCAGAAGAUCAGAGCUCUGUACCGUGAGAAAGAUGUCUUGGCUAGUGAUUCUGAGGAUAGAGUGAAACUAGAUUUGAAGAAGGAAGAAUUAGAAAGCUGCAAGAGGAAGCUGAAAAAGAUGCAUGUCCUUUGUUUUUCCUCAUUUUUUUUUUUCUUUUAUCCAAAAUUUGUAAUCCUUCCGCCCCACUCAGUGCCUUGAGAUUCAGUAGAAAGUAACAUCUAUAUUCUUUAACUUUCAGAAUGGAUGAAAACAAAGACAAAAUUAGAGGUGUGCUUAAGGGGAGGCUUCCUUCUGAAAAGGAUCUUAAGAAGGAGAUUGCUAACACCUUCGGGUUGGUCCUAAAGACUCUUUCCUUUCUUCUAUUUGGAUUUACACGUGUAUUAGGCAAUUGUUCAACUUAAAUGAGUAUCAUUUAACCCAAUAAUAUAGCAUCCCUUUUUUAGUUUUAUAUUUCUUUACAUUUUGUGGUACCUGCUAUUUGGGUUAACUUCCUUUUGCCAACAAAACCUUAUCAUUUGUAGAUUCAAAUUGCUCACGGCAAAGCAAACUUUCUUUUACUAAUGUAGCAUUUACUGUUUGAGAUCCUAAAGCAAAUUUAUUAAGCUUUCAAUCUUAGUCAUUUUGCAUCAAUUUUUUCAUAUAUUGAUGUGAUCCUGUUCCUUAUUUCCUUGACAGAUGCAUAUCUUUUGUAUUCAGAAGCUUCAGUCUGACAAGAUUUGUCUUCUAAGUUCUAACUAUAUGUUGUUCUUUAAACUCCUACGACUGCUUAGCUGAAGAGUAACACCCAAAUGAAUCUAGAUCAAGGAUGUUUCUCUAGUGUGACUUUUGUUAUUCUAGUUCCUGAAUUUGCUGUACAUAUCUUUAGAUGGUUCAAAAGUAAUCUCUACAAAUAUAGGUAAAAGUAGACUAUAGUGGAAAAUUUGUAGCCAUGUGGGACAAAUAUCUGAUCAUGUUAUAAUUUUCUCCAUUGGAAGGACUCUUUUGCUACCUCUGCAUCUAUGUAGGUUAUAAAUUUAUUACACCAAUACACCAUCAUAUCAUCAUAUUGCCUAAGCAAACUCUUUGUCUUAACAUUCUGCACCUGGUAUAUGGCAUUGUUGUAUUUUUUUGCCUUUUGUGUUAUAAUAAAUAAUAAGGUUUUCUAUCAUCUUUUUCAGAUCUCUAAAAAAGGAGUAUGAUGACUUGAACUCUAAAACUCUUGAAGCAGAGAAAGAGGUAAAAUUGGUGCAGAUGAAAAUACAGGAUACUAAAGCUCACCUGUCAAAGCUUCAAAAAGAUAUGGAUGGUAAAUUCACCAACUAGGAGUCAUAUAAGCAUUCUUCGUCUUUUCUUUAUCUCUGUUUCCUGUACAUCGCGAAUGAGUGUAACUUCACUUGGCAAAGUUUGUUUUAUUUAUUUUAUCUUCUUUACGUUGUCAUCUGUCUCAUGUUGUUUUUUGCAUCAAUAUGGAAGAUUGUUGACCUCAAUGAGAGAUGCUACCAUUUAGCUCCUUGAUUUCAUACAUAUCCUUAAUGAGAUAUAUUACAGUUUCGCUUACUUUAAAACCUCAAAGACUAGUUGGCCAGUAGGGUGAUGGUACCUUAUUGUUUGAGCAUGGGCUGUGCAGAAAAGGAGCGUCCCCUACAAGGAAAAAGAUUUUUAUAAAUAAUGCUUUGAGAUCUCAUUUGAUACUGCUCACAUUUUUCUUGUUUUUCUUGUUUUUCUCUGAAACUUAAAUUGUAUAUAAUUGAAUGUACGAGCCGUUGGUGGAUUAUUUACAAUCUAUACAUCUACUGGGUUUGUUUUCCUGCUAAAGUAGAGUAUAUAGUGAAAAAUUUCCUUUCUUGUAUCAUUGUUUUUGUAAGAAAAGAAGCAAGCUAACCAACAAGAAGAACAAUAACAAGAAUAUAGAAGUCCACUCUGAGGCGUUCAAGGGCAUAGAAUUUGAGUUCAUGAAAGAAAAAGAAACUGAAGUACCAAAUGAGGCCUCAAAAUAAACAUAAAUUUGGGCUCGCACUAAUCUAUGUUGCUUAUCUGUGAUUCCCUGCUAGUGUGGCUGGGAUAUAGGAUGCCAGCCGAGAUGACAGGGUGGUGAGAAGCAAAUAAAUUGCCAUUUGCAGCCUAUAGUGAUUUCAGCUUUUGGACGUUUAAACUUUAAAGUUCUUGUAAGCUGUUCAAUCAAGCCUGUCUGCACCCAGCAGUGCUGUAUCGUUAGGUUGUAACCAUGGAUGAGUUUGCCUUAUGGUCAUUAAGGUGGUUCAAAGGCCAUUCACUGAAUGAAUAAAAUGGGUUGAUAUAUUGGGUUGUAAUUAGAGAGAGAAAGAUGAUAUAAAGAAGAUAAUGUCUGAAAGGAAAAAAGAGCUGGGUAUGAGAACAG
rnacentral:lncRNA from 1 species